UUUUAGAAAUCUCGACGGUUACUCCUUCAACUAGGCAUCUGUAAAGAGCUAAACUGAUAAUUUAAAUGCAAAGUUCACAUUUCGAAGCCGGCAAUCAACAAAACUCUUGCCAAUGACAUCCAUCAAGUUGCUCAUCAGAUCACCACUCUCACCCUACUUCAACCCUCCCGCAUUUCAAAUCUUUUAUAAAAUCCUGGGCAACCCAAAUUUUUUUUUUUUGGAUUUUUUGACAUCUUCAACUGUAAUUGAUGAUCAGUCGGAGCAAUAAAGGAGCAAGUCAUGGGGCACCAAUGUCUCCGGCCAAUCGGUGUCGACUAGCGGCAGCGUGGGCUCUCCUACAACCGGGAGUGAGGCGAUUGGCAACACUCCCCCAGUGAUAAGACUUCUAUUACACUUGAUCAUGUAGAUGCUCAUGCUGGUGAUGUUGCAUCUCAAGCUACUUAUAUGUGAGUGCUUAAUUUGCUGUGUUUUUUGAGGAUUUUAUUGCAGGGAAUCGAGUGUGAUUGAUUUGCUUUUACAAUUGAGACCGGAUUCUAUGGUGAUUUGAUUAUAUAUUUUGAUUUUGGAGCAAUUUUCUGAUCAUUGGAUGGUAAUUAUUGAAUUUAGAAAAGUGAUUUUUUUUUUGUGUUUGUUUUUGUGUUUGGACUAAUUACUACCGUUUGAGCAUGAAUUCUGCUAACUGUGUGUAUUAAGUGUUUUACUAUAUUCUUAGUUUUGUUGUGAUGAGACAGUGAAAAAAAAGGGGUCAACAAGCAGUCAGAGGGGAUAAGAAUUGCAGGGGACUCCGCCAAUCUAACAUGAAAGCUAAAAUGGUUGGUUGUUUGGCGUCCACUCACAUCCAUUCCUCCGAUCCUGUCGGUGCCAAUUUUUCCAAGGUCAAACCCUUAUUCUUUUUUACUGAUUGUUUUGGUCAAUUUUGUUUAUUAUUUUUAGGGUUUUGAUUAUUUUUUGUGUUUGCUUUGUAAUUUGAUUUGGGUUGUGUGAAAAUUAGCUUUCUUGAUCUUGAUACUUGAGGGUUUUGUUUAAUAUGAUCAAAUUGAUUGAAGUGCUUUGUGAUAGGUUGAAUUUUUGGCCGAUAGGAGAUUAGGAAUUUGAUAUAGUUUUUGUUAACUUUCGUGUAUUGAUUUGAUUGUUAGGAGCUCUCAGCGAAUUAGGUAAUUUCAAAUUAAUAACAAGAUUCAAUCUGACACUCUAAUUUAAUAUAAUAAAUUAACUAAUUAGAUAAAUUUGGAUAAAAUUAAUGGAUGAUCUCGGAUAGUUUUGCUGCUGAGAUAAAGUUGUCUGACAAGUUUUUUUUCCCACCAAAAUCAUCAUUCUCGCAUAUUGAAAUUGUAUCUUUCGUUUUGCUUGGUUCCGCCUUCGAAUAUGGUUCACAAGUUUAUAAAUUAUGCAAUUUCGCGUCAAGUUCAAGACUUAAAUGUGCAUAUUCCAGAAUUUGUUAUGGAUUUAUCCACCUUUACUUCUACUUCCAUGAAGAAACUUAAGAUGAGUCUUGAUUUUUGUAAGGUGUUUAGAUUCUCGGAUUGUUGGGAUUUGCCUGCUUUAACAACUCUACGCUUGAUACUCCCUUCAUUAAGCCUUGGCGGAAUAAGUAUUCCUGGAUUAUAGUUGAUCUGUUUGCCUUCUUUACAGACUCUGGUUCUCGAUUGUAUUGAGUUACCAAAUUCUCUUGAUUGCUUGCUUCAGUAACUCUCUAUCUCGCAAGGUGCAAGUCCUUAAUAUUAGCUGUAUUGGUUUAUUCCCAAUCACAUUUAGACUAUCUCAGUUAGAGUAUGUGAAUAUGAAAUUAAGGGAUAGCACUGAUGGAAGAAAGCCUAUUCCAGGAUCUAAGUUGAUGAAGAUAUAUUAUCGCGGAUUUACUUAUGUCUCAGGUUUAGGGUAGUGCAAAGAUUCUUACUCUCAACUUGGAGACUAUUGAGUAUGUGAAGGUGCCACAAGGAUGUAAAGAAACAAAUUUUGUCAACUGACCUCAAAUGCUACUUGCUUGGUCGCUCUCCAAAGCUACUAUUGUCACUAAAUUUCCUCAGGCAGCUAGGAAGUCUGCACCAACCACUGGAGAAUGAAGAUGCCCCACAGAUACCAUCCUGGAACUCUUGCCCUGCGAAGGAUCAUCCCCGCUCGUGAAUUGUGAUGAUACUGUAAGUGUGGCCUCCCCCGUCGAGUUCUACGUGGCGGACUACAACCCUGGCUGAAGGUAAUAGUAGUGCUAAAGGAUAAAGUAAAAGUACAGGAUAAGUUUAGUGACAAAUCAUCCUGUUUCUGUUGACUGAUCCGAGAGUGAGAUGGAUCCUGGCCUUCUGAUGAAGAAAGUGAGGGCUCCUGAUCUGCUGUUUCAUCAUGAGACCCCCUCCUGCUGCAACACAAAUGAACUGGGUCUGCUUCAGAAAGAAACCUCACCCCAGUAUAUCAGUGUUAGAAAUUUUGUUAUUCAUCAAGUUUAACUCAUUGUAAAAAUCAUGAAAAUACAAAUGAAAUCUAAUAUAUUUACUUUUCUGUUAUUAUUUCAUUUGAAAACACACAAUUAUAUUCUUUCCUUCAAGUCGGAUGAGAACUUUUCUUAGAAU